ensembl:lncRNA
CUUCUCUUGAGGGUUAGAUACAUCUUCUCUGACUGAACCCAGACCCAGAAGUCCUCAACUAUAUAUGUGUUGGGUGCCUCAUCUCAGCUGGUAUAUGCUGCCUGGUUAGUGGUCCAGUGACUGGGAGAUCCCAGGGAUCCAGGUUAACUGAGAUGGCUGGUCCUCCUACAGGGUGGUCCUCCUCCUCAUCUUCUUCCAGCUUUUCCCUAAUUCAACCACAGAGGUCAGCAGCUUCUGUCCAUUGGUUGGGUAUAAAUGUCUGCAUCCAACUCUUUCAGCUGCUCAUUGGAUCUUUUGGAGGUUUGGGAAUGUGCAUGAACAUGUAUGAGAGUGCAGGUAUACACAUGCCUCAGCAUGGAGAUCAGAGGACAACCUCAGGAGCCAGUCCUUGCUACUUAACUGCCACGUUUUUUUUCAAACACUUCUCUUCAUGUUCACUGCUGAGUGUGCCAGACUAGCUUAGCCACAAGAAUCCAUGGAUUCUCCCAUCUGUUUCUCCUACCCCACUAUAGAAACUAGGAUUAAAGACUCGGGCUACUACAUAGGCUUUUAACCUGACUCUAGGGAUUGGAAUCCAGAUCCUUACGCAUGAAGCACUGUAGUGGGAAUUUUGUUUACUUUAAAAACCCAAUUAUGUUAUGUAUGUUUUCUUUGCUUUAAUGCAAGGUCUGGGAUGUGGGUUUUCUUCAGUUUGUUCGCAGCCAUUAACUAUGAUUGUCUAGUGCUCUCAGAGGGGCAUAAUUUUUGUCAGCUGCAAAUAGUUUAAUUCUGGGGACAAUGGAGAAGGAAUUGAUGCCAUAAACUGGAAAGGAUCAGUAGAUGCUCAGAAGAAGAGGAGGAGGAGGAAGAAAAAGAAAUCCAGCCCUACAAAGGAUAAUAGAUGGAAAACUCCAACACAAGGAGGGAAACAACACCCUAGAAUAAGCAAGAAAGUAAUCUCCAGCCAUUUGCCUACGAAUUUCAUAAAGUCGUUGUUUUUGAUAGCUGAGUAAUAUUCCAUUGUGUAGAUGUACCACAUUUUCUGUAUCCAUUCCUCUGUUGAAGGGCAUCUGGGUUCUUUCCAGCUUCUGGCUAUUAUAAAUAAGGCUGCA